AGUAAGUCUCAUGAGAUCUGAUGGUUUUAAAAAGCAAAGUUUCCCUGCACAAGCUGUCUUCUCUCGUCUGCCACCAUGUGAGAUGGGUCUUUCACCUUCUGCCAUGAUUGUGAGGCCUCCCCAGCCACAUGGAACCAUAUCCCACAGACCCAGCACCAUUUAUUGAGAAGACAAUCUCUUUCCCCUGCACUUCAGUCAUUCCAUUAAAAAAAACUGACUAUCAUUUUGAAUGAUAGCUAAGAACUACUCCACCUGGCCCAGAUUCUUUGGCGUGUGUCUCUGCUCAGCUCCGAUGAAUGCAGGAAUCCCUAAUCAGAUGACUGCAAUCACAAGACUCCCCUCCAGCAGGCUGGAAUGAGGCUGUGAGGCUCCAGCAGCCGUUUUGUGCCACGAGGCAGUAGAAACCUGGGUUCCUGAUGACUGUGGAGCUGCCGAACUAAUCUGGACCUCCAGAUUCCAUACCUGCAAGACACAUGAACAUCUGUCUUAUCCAUCCCUGGAGAGGAUCCCUGGAGAGGAGCAAACCCAGGCCAUCCGGAUUUUCUGCAUGGGAGACCUGGCUGACCGCUGCCUGGGCUGCUUUCAAGUCUCACCGAAUUAUGAAGUCAACUACUGGGUGUUUAGAAUGUCUCAAGUUCAAAGACUAGCAGGCUAGAAGCAGACAUCUGAGAGAACUUCGGGCACCUUAGCAGGAGGAAUAUUAAGAUGUGGCAUGCUGGGCUUAUCGGGAGACUGGAUAGGGAUCAGAAGGAAUACAUUUCUAUUCUGCGAGCUGCAGAGCUCAGGAGUCGUUCUGAUAUCAGGCCCAUUGGUGGGUUUAGCUUUGGUGCAAGUUUCUUGGCCAUGGAGCUUAACUAGGAGGAAGUGAAUUGCAAUCAUUUUGGCCUGUGCUCCUUAGAGUCCCAGGGAUCAAUGGGAGACGAGUGACUGGGUGGGCGGGUAGAGCAAGGAGAACAGGGUGCAGGAGACACUGCCACUUAUUUAUUUGUUUUUCCUACAAAUAUUUAUUGAGCCUCUAAGUAUGUACCAGGCACAUUCCAGAAGAGGGACUCAGAGGUCGUUGGAAGUGUAUGCCAGGAACCACUGAGCAAGGCCCUUGUCUCUCUUUGUGGGCCUUCUUCAGACACUUCCCCCUCAUACACGGGAUCUGGGAUCAUUAAACAUCUCAUUGUCCUUUGGAUUCACCAGCUUUUGAAAGUGCUGCUCCUGCUGGAAAAGCCCUCGCUUCCACUCUUCACCUAGAAAACUUCUAUUCAUUCAUUAAGGCCUGACGUCACGUUUUCUGGGAAGUCUUCCUUGCUUAUCCCCUGACAAAUUUGAUUUUUUGUCAAAUUUGUAUUAUUUAUAUCUUUGUGUUAUUAAAUUUCCAUCACAUUUCAGAGUUUCUGAGUGUUUAAAUAACUUAACCUAAGUUCACACAGCUAGUUAGAGUCUCAGCUAGGAUUUGAACUUGGAACUUCCUGACACCAAAGCCAAUACACUUAACCACUAGAUCGCAUGGCCACUGAAGUUAGUGGUUCCUUCUCUAGGCUCCCAGGGCCCCAGAGUUUUGUCAUGGAACUCAUCAUUGUUGAUUGUCAUUAUUCAUUUGCUGGUGAGAUUUCCAGGGGUACGGGCUAUAUGGAGUCACUAUGAUGACUCAACAUAGAAUCGACAGCCCAGAUGCUGGUGGGAUGAUAAGAAAGGCUAUUAAUGUGCCCAGUACUGGGCUAACCUCUCCAUAUUCAUUGUAUCAUUGAUUACUCAUGACAAUCCAUGAGACAGUCAUUACUAUUCUUCCCAUGUCAUAUUUGGAACAACUGAGGCUUAGAGAGCUGAAACAAUAUGUCCAACUCCCACAGCUAGAAGAGGCAGACCUGGGGUUCAAACUCAGGUCUGGCUUAUUCCAGAGCCCAUGCUUUUAACUGCUAUAUCACACUCCUUCUCCUCGACGUGUUCUCUGAAACCCUGUAGUGGUGCUGGGGUACAGAGACAAGUGUCACCAAGCUCCUACCUUCAAGGAGCUCACAGUCAAGUGGAGAAGUCAGGCAUCCCGGCAUCCCAGGCAUCCCUGAUUAUCCUGGUAUGAACAGAUAAUCACAACACAAGCUAUAAAUGCAGGUAGCCUGGAGAAAGGAGUAAAUAAUUAGUCAAACAGAGGGAGUGCUAGGGAAAGAUUUCAAAGCAGUGGGGAUACCUGAACAGGGUUUUGAAAGUUAAAUAAGAGUCUUCCAGGAGACAAGGAGGUAGAAGGACACCAGACAUACAGAGCAGCAUACACGAAGGGAGGGAGGGAAGGAGAGAGAGAGAGAGAGCUGCUGGGUGGUAGGGAAACUCCAAGUGAUUAGAAAUUUCACCCUUCCUGUCUCUCCUUCCGCAGCUGACUCUGCUAGGAAAUGUGGAAAGCUGCAGCUGCAGACAGCUGGCUGUGCCUGCUUCACUGGAGUUCUCAGCUCUCUUACACCUGUCUGUUUAGAAAGGAGCAGACAGGCUGUGAAGCUCUGCAGGAUUCUUUUCAGUGCUGGGGCAGAAGGAGAAAUGGUGGGGACAGCCACUCUGGGCAUCAGAACCGAAUACCUGCUCCCCACUCCUCUCAGUUGCACAGCCCAGCUCCUGGCUUCACUGCAGUGGGAAGGGAGAUGAAGGACUCUUGAACUCAGAAUAUGACUGACCAAGACCCUUACAGCUGGGGUGGAGGUAGGGGGCUGAAGGCAGGUUCUGGAGGUGGAGAUUGAGUCUUCCAGUUGUUUUCCUGGCAACAGCGGGAACAAUAGAUUCUAGGUUCUGGCUGGCUCAGGAGUUGGGGUGUCUGACCUGUCUUUCCUCAGUCCCUUCUGCUAUAGAUACUGAUAGUCCUCUGCCACCAGGCUCUGCCUACCAAGUCCCUGAGCUCUUCCUGACCUAGCCUGGCUCUGAGAGGGGAGCCAGCAUGGCAGAGGGUGGGCCUGGUACCAGUUGUGUCUCCCUGAAUACAGGAUCUGAGAGCUGGGGAGCUAUGGACACCCAGAGCCCAUCAGCCUGGUCUCUCCCCUCACUGUAGGUUCCCAGGCCAGUGGCUGGUUCCUGAUUUUACCUAGUCUUCUGCACUGGGAUAAGAACCUGACAUCCAGCUUCCCCUUUGGGAGUAAGGCCUCUUCCACGGGCUGCUCCUGGUCUGUGUUUUCCACUGCAGUCUGGGAGCCUACUUCCCCCAUGAAGGCCCUAACCCCACCCAUGAAGACACUACAUGAAUUACUGUCCAGACUGGACUCCAGAUGCAGCCUCGGAUUAGACCCAAUUUGGCCUCAUCUCCUUGGAGCUGUCUAGUAAUUUGGAAUACACGCUGCUCCCUACUUAGCCACCUGCAAAGCAGGGUCCAUCUCCCAGCCUGGUUCUGCCUUUUCCUCAGUCUUAUAUGUGUGUGUCUGAGUACAUGUGUCAGUCAGUGAUCAUGCCAGGACGGCCAGCUGGACUUGUGUCAGCAUGCACAUAUGUUCCUUGAGGCUGUCCCGUGCAGGCGUGCACUGAGUUCUCAGCCCAGUUCUGAAGCGUGUUUGUGAAUAUGCCCAGAUACAUCAUGAACAUUGCUGGGAUGCUAGGAGGGGGAUCAGUAUGAAUGACAUUGCAUGUCCUCAAGUACACAGGUAUGUGUCUACGCACACGCACAAACCUCUCUAAUAUGUAUGUAUGCACGUGUACAUGUGUAUAAUAUGGCUAAGUGUGUGUCUGGGAGUAUUUGACCAUGUCUGAUGUGAAUCUUCUGCCCAUUCUGAAAGGAAAGGGGACAUGGGCCCACUCUCCCUUUUUGUAGUUACACUGUGGUCAGGGCUGGCUUGUGACAGAGGGAGUCAAGGUGAGUGCCCCUCUGAACUUCUGGGAUCUUUCUGCCUAACAUUCUGAGACUUCCCCAGCUGUUCCCUAGUCCUGCAGCCUUGGCUGUCAGUACUUCAAGAUUAUCUGGCCAGGCGUGGUGGCUCAUGCCUGUAAUCCCAGCAUUUUGGGAGGCCGAGGCGGGCAGAUCAUUUGAAGUCAGGAGUUUGAGACCAGGCCAACAUGGUGAGACCCCAUCUCUACUAAAAAUAAAAAAAUUAGCCAGGUGUACUGGCACGUGCCUGUAAUCCCAGCUACUUGGGAGGCUGAGGCAGGAGAAUCACUUGAAUCCAGGAGACAGAGGCUGAAGUGAGUCGAGAUUGCACCACUGCACUCCAGCCUGGGUGACAGAGUGACACUUGGUCUCAAAAACAAACGAACAAACAACAAACAAACAAAAAAAAAAAAAAAAAAAGAAAAGAAAAAGAUUAUCUGGUGCCUUGGCCCAGUCCCCACCCUUCACUUUGGAAAGGGUGUACCUGCAAAAGGUACAAGAGGAAGUCCACACCCCCACAUUUAGUCUGGCAAUGAUGCCAACUAUUCAGGACUCGCCUACUGUGGCCUGUGUAGGUCCUCCUCCUCUCCUGCUCAUGUCCAGGCCAUUGUCUUUAGUGGGACAGGGGGGCCUGAGGGAGGAGCUUCUGACCUGGCUGUUCUGGAGGCCUGGGCUUGCCAGAGGCCUUCAGCUUUGGCAGAGGACUCCGGGCUGUUUGGAGGCACUCCCAAGGCCCCUGUGCUGUGUCAGGGGCAGGAGGUGAUGGUGGGGGGUGGGUAGUACGUCCAGAGCUUCCCCUUCCCAACAAAUCUGUGGAUGGGCAGGGGGUACACUCAUGGGGAAAUUACCAAUUUAAAUAGGAAAUGCAAGCAAUUUGGAUAGAACCCCAGGACUGCAGUUUGAGAGCUCAUUCUCUGCCCCGUGGGGGUUUGAUUACAACCAACUUGGCUGAUAACGUGCAGAGAGGGCCAGAAAAAUGGUUUCCAAGGAAACUCAGAUCUUUCUAAGCCCCUUCUGGCUCAGGUGGGAGCCAGGGCUGGCCGGGAAAGCAGAGGCUGUGCUGAGUACCAUGGUGCUCAAUUCCCGGUGAGCCCUCUGCCCACUCUCUGCCUGCUUCUGUGCUUAUCCCUGCUUCCCCAAACCUGGCCUGCACUUUCAUUCCUGUUUACAACAGUUGUUUCUCUCUUUGUCUCUGCUCCCUUUGUCUUCUUAUUUAUCUCAGCUGAUGUCUGCACUUGGGAAAGUUGGCAAACAUUAAAAAAAAAAAUUCUAAUUUUUUUCUUAUUAAUGGCGACUAUUCAUUCAACACCUACUCUGUUCCAGAAAUGCCACAGGAUUUAGUUCUAUUAUUUCCAUUUUCACAGCAACCAUAUGGUAGACAGGAUACUAUGUGUUCAUCAAAUCUUUUUUCUUCCUGGAACUACAUUUCCCAGCAUGCCUUGCUGUAAGGUUGAAUCAUGUGACUGAGUGCUGGUCAAUGGAAUGUGGGUAGGAGUAAUAUAUGCCACUUUUGUGGCUGCCCGGCCCCCCCUAAAUAUCACGAACAAUCUUCUACACAUACUCAUUUACUCUUUUUUUUUUUGUAGGCCGUGGAAACAGAAAUCUAGUGGAGGAUUCUGAUCCCUAGGGAAUGUAGGGCCACUGGACCCAAUUGCCCUAUAAUCUUGUGUGGUAUUUCCCUGCCCCUGCUCAACUUCAUUGGAUGGUAAUGUUACAUUUGUUAAGCCACUAAGGUUUUGGGGGUUGUUUAUUAGGCAGUUGUCUAGCCUGAUAACACAAGCCUGAAAGAAGGGCAUUCUUAUCCCUAUUUUUCCCUGGGGGAAAUGGGCUCAGAGAUACUAAGUAACUUGCUAAAGUCACACAGCAAGUAAGUGGCAAAUCCAGAUUUGAGCUCAGGUUAUGUCUUUUCCACUAACCCAGGCUAACAGGAUGAUUGUUCCUGCUUAGGUAUUGCCUUGGUCUUUGUUUCUUGAGGAGUCACAGAAAGAAAGACACAGACCAGGACUGGGAGGUAGGGAAGGAGGGAGCAGCUGGGGGGCAGGUGUGUAGUGGUGCAUCAUAGCAGCAAAGGGAGGUAAAGGUUCUAGGAAGGGGUGGUCAAUUGUGUCUAAUGAGAUCCAGCCAGGUGGAGGAGGAAGAGGGCUGGGAAGAGCCCAUUAAAUUUAAUGACCUCAGUGACAGUUUUAUCUGAGUGAUGGGGCAGAUGCCAGCUUGCAGAAGGUUUGGGAACAAGUCAGUGAUUAUGUUGGUUAAGGGAAGGAGAGAGGAAAAAAAGAGAGAUAGCUUUAAGUGGAAGCCAGGCCAAAGGAAAGCAUUUUGAGAAGGAAAUCAGUGGUUAGGGAGAGGUUAAAAAUAAGAAAGGGAAUCAUGACCUACAUAAUGCAAGGCAUCUGAAUGUGAUGAUUUCCUCCUUUAGGCUUGGUUCUGGUGUGCAUUUCCAGGGCUAAGCUGACUGGCCAGGAAGCAGGGAGCAAAGGGGGUUGGACACAGCCAGCAAAUCACGCAGCAUUAACUGGGCUGCGAGGCCGGAUCCUGAGUGGGCAAGCAGGUGGCAGCUGAAGUAUUGUGAAUCGAGAGCCUGAAAUUCUUCAGGAUCUUCUAAGAUUAUCCAUUUGAUUGGGUCAUGGAAUUAAUGUGGAUAAGCCUAGUUGAUCAACCUGAGUAGAGGGUGCUGUCACCUGCACAACACCUACCACAACUUCCUAGAACCUAGUGGCCGAGCUUGUUAAGUGUCCCCAAAUGCCCAUUCUCUCCUUCCUUUUAGUCAAGGAGCCAUGAAUUUUAGGGAAGAACAUGAUCAUUUAGCUCAGGACCACAGUUCCCAGACUCCCUGCAGCUGGAUGUGGAUGUCUACUCAGUUCUUGCUAAAACGAUGUGUGCAAUUUCCAGAGCACAUCCUUAUAUGGAAGUUAUUUGCAGUGAACAUUGUCUGUUUCCUCCUUUCAAUGAGGUGGAACUGGAAGUGCUGGAGAUGAGCUGCUGUGGCUGUAUGGACAAAGGCAAGAUCCUAUGGGAUGGCCAAGCAACCAGACAGAAGAACUCUUGAGACCUUGAGGAAAAGAACUGCCCGCAACUGCUCUUGACACUCUCUCCCUCUGGCCUGUUGUGUGGGAGAGAAAUAA
rnacentral:lncRNA from 1 species